AACAGAGAAGGGUGUGGAAGAGGCCACCCGGUGACCUGAAAAAGAAUCAAUAAACAUACAUACCUACGUGGUUAACAAGAUAGUUGAAUGCUAAUUUCUUUACUAUUCCAGUAACGUCUCUUUCUGUUUUGUUUUUAGGUAAAUGGAUCAAGUGGAGAAACCAUUUCAUGUACGUUUUUCUAAGAAUACCCAUUGUUGCC
rnacentral:lncRNA from 1 species